rnacentral:misc_RNA from 1 species
AUAAACUGAACCCAAUCUAUCUCACAUAUACAUUAACACAUCUAGAGGGGAGCUGAACUCAAACCUCUAUCUAAACACAAAAUCUAUAAAUAGGGAGCUUUACUCAAUCCACAUCAUCCUAUUCAAUACUUAUAUUUAAAUACGAACACACAAACAUAUAGAGUAUAUUUUUCAGACUUUACAAUAACCUUAUGGAGCAUUCUAAGAAUUACAAAUAUUUAAUAUAAUUCAAAAUUAUAAAUACAAGUCCACUGUAAUGGAGAAAAUUGCAUGGAUUACCAAAUUAUGCCUAUUGGCCUUCUGUCACCUGGGAAAAAUAAGUGAACAUAGGUGAGUGGUUGACUCAAAAAAUAUAAUAUUGAGUAUUUCAUAUAACAUUUAUAACUAGCCUAAAACUAGUGUAAACCUAUUAAUAGAAAUACAUAAAUAUCACAAUGUUGUUAAAAGCGCUAGGUGCCCUUAAGGUGAGAAGGUCCUCCAUUGCCCUAAGUGAUCGCCAAGGCGCACACCCAAGCGAAGUGAGGUGCUAAUUUAUUCUAA